UACGUAGGGGGCAAGCGUUGUCCGGAAUCAUUGGGCGUAAAGCGCGUGUAGGCGGCUUGGUAAGUCCGCUCUGAAAGCCCGGGGCUCAACCCCGGGAGGCGGGUGGAUACUGUCAAGCUCGAGUCCGGAAGAGGAGAGUGGAAUUCCCGGUGUAGCGGUGAAAUGCGCAGAUAUCUGGAGGAACACCGGUGGCGAAGGCGGCAUCCUGG
rnacentral:rRNA from 1 species